rnacentral:lncRNA from 1 species
CAGUUGCAAACACAAGUGCUGGCUGGAAUGGGCUCUGGGGUCAACCACUGCCUCAUCCUCUCACCAGCUACUUAAUCCCAUUUGGGGCUAUCCCAAGACCCUUUUCAGGAGGCUCCUUAAUUCUUAAGUAACUAUAAGUAACUAUAACACACACAGCCUGACAUACAUACUGUCUCUUCACAGAGGCCUUGGAACUGACUGUCCUCACUCCUGUUCCCUGUGGAGAAUCCCAGGAUCUAACCAGCCCCAUGGUCAAGAUUUGCUUAAAGCUAAGCCUGUCCAUGCAGAACAGUUGAACAACUUCAGGAGAAGCUGGUUAUUUGGGCCAUUUGGUUGUUUUACCUGAAGAGCAGCCAGAUCAAGUAGGCCGAGGUCCAUCUGAGUAUAAGAAGUCAGCUGAUUGGGCCAAGCAAAUCCUUCAGUUAAGUGUAAGUAGAAUAUAUGUUUUCUGUUUGUUUUGGUUUUUAAAGAGACUGUGCAAUGGUUAGACCACAUGGUUUUGUGUAAUAAUUUUUGAAUGAGAAGAAAACCACAUAUCGAAGGUGAACACUUUAGAUAGGCUUGUUGAGUAUUAACUAUACAGUAAUGUUCUGGGGAAGCUAGUCAAGUAGCAUUUUGAAGUCUGAUAGGCUUACCAAACAGAAAAGAAUAAUAUGACUUUAUAGUUCUAGACGUGAUUAUACUUUCCAAGCCACUGGUAGUAAUUCUCUCAGCCACCCCACUGGCAGGUAGGGCUGACACCUAAUUUAGUGCCCAUCCCACUCCUUUCCAUAAUAACACAAACAGAAUGGAAACAUUCUUCACCCAUGUUGAGAAAAGCCAGUCAUUUGGUUUUCUAAGGCUUUUUAUUUUCCUUUCAUAUUUUGAAGGGUGGUGUAGACCAGAUUAAAAAACAUGGCUCAGGGAAGCAAGAAAUCAUUCCUCCAAGCGUUUAUUAAGUGAAUCACAAAUUCAUUCAGCCUGACUGCUUA